rnacentral:rRNA from 1 species
AGCGAACGCUUGCGGCAGGCCUAACACAUGCAAGUCGAACGAAGUCUUCGGACUUAGUGGCGGACGGGUGAGUAACACGUGGGAACGUGCCUUUAGGUUCGGAAUAACUCAGGGAAACUUGUGCUAAUACCGAAUGUGCCCUUCGGGGGAAAGAUUUAUCGCCUUUAGAGAGGCCCGCGUCUGAUUAGCUAGUUGGUGAGGUAAAGGCUCACCAAGGCUACGAUCAGUAGCUGGUCUGUGAGGAUGACCAGCCACAUUGGGACUGAGACACGGCCCAAACUCCUACGGGAGGCAGCAGUGGGGAAUCUUGCGCAAUGAGCGAAAGCCUGACGCAGCCGUGCCGCGUGGAUGAUGAAGGUCUUAGGAUUGUAAAAUCCUUUAACCGGUGAAGAUAAUGACUGUAGCCGGAGAAGAAGCCCCGGCUAACUUCGUGCCAGCCGCCGCCGUAACAC